rnacentral:lncRNA from 1 species
GAGCAGCAGUGGCUGAAAAGGCAGAGGAGUGGGAGGGGCCAGGUAGUGGGGACUUGGGGGGUGUGGAGGAGAGGGCUGAGAGGAGGUCAUUCUAGGGGAUCUUGGAGACAGACUGCUGGACAGGAAGACAGAGUAGGGGUAGGGAUAAGGGAGUUCCAGGAAGCGGAGACCUUGGGCCAGAUUCUUGUUGGAGGGGAGGGUGGUAGGCAGCAUGGGAGAGGACAGAGGACAAGAGGGGACAUGUCUGGGCACAAGGAAAGGCAAGCAAUGGAGGCAGCAAGAGCCCUUGGCAGCAAGUUUCCAUCACCUUUGCCUGCCAGUGUGUGAGAGGCGCAGAGGGGCAGUGAGCAGGUGACAUGCAGCUUCCAGAUACCCACACACUGCUUUUCUCCCGCCCAGCUCCCACCCCAGUUAAUUGAGAUGGGAUUGUUUCUCUUUCUGGUUUCUUCCUAAGCCCCUCUCUCAUAUUCCUGGUGUGCUUAUGGCCUGGCACACCUUGUGAAACAGAAACCCAAGCUCCUCAUUUCGGAGCUGGGAUUUCGAUUGGCUAUCUGCCUCCCUAACCAAGCUGUCCCUUCCACCUCAUCCCUAGAGUCACCCUCUGGUCUCAUCAACAUCCAGUGGGCAUUUCAGUGGCCCAGGAUCCUUCAAAUUGCAGAUAUAAAGCAUCAGGACCCCACACCUGGGAUGGAAGCUUCUAGGAAUUAAUGAAGCCCCAGUAGAGAAAACUGAGAAGGCCAUGCUGUGACACCUCGUCCCCACCCCACAGGAGUCAGAGGAACCCCUUCCCCAGUUGGAAUUUGGCUCCUGUGAUGCUCCAAAAGGAGAGAGAAGGGGACUCACUCCUGAGCUCCAGAACUCCCCCAGUGCCACGCGCGUGAAGGAGCGCCUUCAAACUCCACAGCCCCCACCCCGCGCCGGGACCCCAGCCCUCCCCUAUCUCCCGGAGCCCAGGACUCACGUGGGGGCGGCGGCAGCAGAGGUCUGUCCCGGCUGAGUUUGGAGUGUAAGAAGUGGGGAAG